UAAUACAGAGGUCCCAAGCGUUGUUCGGAAUCACUGGGCGUAAAGGGUGCGUAGGCGGUAUGGUAAGACUUGGGUGAAAUCUCCAUGCUUAACGUGGAGGGAGCCUGGGAGACUGCCGUGCUAGAGGAUUGGAAGGGAGACUGGAAUUCUUGGAGUAGCAGUGAAAUGCGUAGAUAUCAAGAGGAACACCAGUGGCGAAGGCGAGUCUCUGGACAAGACCUGACGCUGAGGCACGAAGGCCAGGGGAUCAAACGGG
rnacentral:rRNA from 1 species